CUGGAAGGUAAGGCUGCGCUGGCAUCCAAAAAACUCGGUGUACUCAAUAAAGCGAGGCGAUACUUUACUCCGGGGCAAAGACUGCUGCUUUAUAAAUCGCAAGUCAGACCCCAUAUGGAGUACUGCUGUCACCUUUGGGCAGGAGCAUCUGGAUGCCAGCUUGGACCCUUCGACUCAGUCCAAAGACGCGCUGUGCGAAUCGUCGAUGAUCCCAAACUCACAAGCGGUAUUGAACCUUUAAGUCUAAGGAGAGACUUUGCCUCCUUGUGUGUAUGCCAACGGCGGCCGCUUUCUAUCACCGCACCGCUCGCCGUCGGCAGGGCGUUCAUCCUCACACCCUAGAACCUAAAUGGUCGCGUACUGUGCGAUUUACGAGGAAUUUCCUCCUGCGGACGCUCCGGCUGUGGAAUGAGCUCCCUUCCGAGGUUUUCCCGAGGGUCUACAGUAUGGGGUUCUUCAAAAAAGGAGUGUACAGGUUUUUAAAAGGUCGGCAACGCGCAUGUAACACCUCUGGAGUUGCAGGCGUCCAUAGGCUACGG